rnacentral:lncRNA from 1 species
UGCUUUUCUUAAUCAUUAAGUCUACUUUAAAUUAAACGAUAUCUUAGUAAAAGAAACUUUAAGCUGAUACGUAAUGAUUUUUGUUUCUUCAGCUAAAGGGGCACAAUUUGAUUCACUCGUCCUUGCUUUUACUUUCACUCUUUUAUUACAAAACUCAAUGAAAGGUAUUUAAUUUCUUUCCCACAGUGGAAGUUUCUUUCAAAUCCCUCCUCAGUUUAACCUCUGCAAAAAGUUAAUAUUUGAAUUCCUUCAUGGUUUCUUCACAGCAGAUGAGUCAUUUUGUAAACUCCACAUUUGUAUUAAACUCUCUGUGAAGUCAGCAGCGGUUCACGCUGGCGUUGGGGAUUCACAGCCAUGCUUGAGCGCACGGCGCUGGCGAACAGGAGCCGCAGUGUCCAGAGGGGCUGCAUGAAGCACACCGGCUCCUUUGAACUUUUCUGUCUGAGCUCGCAGCGUUGGAAGACGAAACUCGCAAAUGCCCAGCUGCUGCUGGAGCUCUGAGCUCUCAAAAACGCAAACGUACUGUCAACUCGCCCUGGCUCCAGCAGGUGAAAUGGAUCCCGCCGCCACAGGGUGGAACAGAAACUCCCACAAAGAAGCGCUCUCAGGUUCACUACAAGCGCAGCCUUAUCAGCCGAUCGCUGAGCACGUCGGAGCUUAAGUGCCUUCUUCUACAAAGACCCAACUCCAGAAAUGCGUCUGCCGUUGGAGAGCUUCUCCAACCUGCAGGCUUCAGCCAAAUCCAGCUGAAAACACACUUUUUCACUAAAGGAGAGGAUGAAAUCUCAACUGGUCAGUCUGAGAGUUUACUGUGGGCUGAGACCAGCUUUAAACUAACUGAGAUUUCAACACACUUGUCUGUGUGUGUGAGCGUCAUGUUUGGUCUUUAAAAACAGACAUCCAGACCAUACUACGUCCAAAUUUUACAAUUUAUUUAUUUCAUAUUCUGCUUUAGGGAAUUGACAAAAGUAGAUUUUAUGCAACAGCUUUAAGCAAUUUCCUCUAAGAUGGUUGAGACAAAACAGUUGCUUUAAUUCUGUUUUUAUAUGAGGAAUUAGCACAAAGAGACGAUAAUGUGGAAAAAAGCAGAGAAGCAAAUUAACUUGUUUUUUUUUUUUUUGGUUACUAAAUUGAAAAAAAAAAACUUAAAGAAAUGUAUCCAUAUUAC